AACGAACGCUGGCGGCAUGCCUAACACAUGCAAGUCGAACGAGACCUUCGGGUCUAGUGGCGCACGGGUGCGUAACGCGUGGGAACCUGCCCUUAGGUUCGGAAUAACUCCCCGAAAGGGGUGCUAAUACCGGAUAAUGUCUUCGGACCAAAGAUUUAUCGCCUUUGGAUGGGCCCGCGUUGGAUUAGCUAGUUGGUAGGGUAAAAGCCUACCAAGGCGACGAUCCAUAGCUGGUCUGAGAGGAUGAUCAGCCACACUGGGACUGAGACACGGCCCAGACUCCUACGGGAGGCAGCAGUGGGGAAUAAUGGACAGUGGGCGAAAGCCUGAUCCAGCAAUGCCGCGUGAGUGAUGAAGGCCUUAGGGUUGUAAAGCUCUUUUACCCGGGAUGAUAAUGACAGUACCGGGAGAAUAAGCUCCGGCUAACUCCGUG
rnacentral:rRNA from 1 species